CAUGCUUUUACAGUAUGAAAAUUGGUGAUUUAUAAUAACUUAGCAAAUCGCAAAGUGAAAACAGGCGAUAAAUCAUUCAAGUUUCUGACCUAUCAGCUUUCGACGGUAUGGUAUUGGCUUACCGUGGCAGUGACGGUUAACGGGGGAUUAGGGUUCGAUUCCGGAGAGGGAGCCUGAGAAACGGCUACCACAUCUAAGGAAGGCAGCAGGCGCGCAAAUUACCCAAUUCUAACAGUUUGAGAGAGGUAGUAACAAGAAAUAACAAUACAAGGCAGUUAAAAUGCUUUGUAAUUGGAAUGAUAGAAAUUUAAACCCUUUUUAAAGUAUCAAUUGGAGGGCAAGUCUGGUGCCAGCAGCCGCGGUAAUUCCAGCUCCAAUAGCGUAUAUUAAAAUUGUUGCAGUUAAAAAGCUCGUAGUUGAAGUUCUGCUGAAAGUAACCGGUCUGCUUUUAAUAAAAGUGGUAUCUUGGUAUGUAUUUAGCAAUGAUGUCCUUUGAAGUGUUUUUUACUUUAUUGUAAUAAAGCAUAUUCAGGACUUUUACUUUGAGAAAAUUAGAGUGUUUCUAGCAGGCUGACGCUUUGAAUACUGCAGCAUGGAAU
rnacentral:rRNA from 1 species